UGGGGAAUAUUGGUCAAUGGGAGAGAUCCUGAACCAGCCAAGCCGCGUGAGGGAAGACGGCCCUAUGGGUUGUAAACCUCUUUUGUCGGAGAACAAAACCCGGGACGUGUCCCGGACUGCGUGUAUCCGAAGAAAAAGCAUCGGCUAACUCCGUGCCAGCAGCCGCGGUAAUACGGAGGAUGCGAGCGUUAUCCGGAUUUAUUGGGUUUAAAGGGUGCGUAGGCGGUCCGUUAAGUCAGCGGUAAAAUUGCGGGGCUCAACCCCGUCGAGCCGUUGAAACUGGCAGACUUGAGUUGGCGAGAAGUACGCGGAAUGCGCGGUGUAGCGGUGAAAUGCAUAGAUAUCGCGCAGAACUCCGAUUGCGAAGGCAGCGUACCGGCGCCAGACUGACGCUGAGGCACGAAAGCGUGGGGAUCGAACAGG
rnacentral:rRNA from 1 species